CAAGUCGUAACAAGGUAUCCGUAGGUGAACCUGCGGAUGGAUCAUUAAAGAUUGUGUUUGAGCGAGAGAAGUGAGAGCUCUGGGCGGUUUUAUAUUUGGAGCGGGGUGGAAGAUAUUUAUGUUGGAAAAUACUUUUCCUGCCCUGCUUCAUUUAAAAACAAAUCAUUUAUUAAACUUGUUAAUAAUUAUUUAAAAAUUAACAACUUUUAGCAACGGAUCUCUUGGCUCUC
rnacentral:misc_RNA from 1 species